GGAAGGGUGGCCGAGUGGUUUAAGGCAACGGUCUUGAAAACCGUCAGGUUAGUAGCCUCGCAGGUUCGAAUCCUGUCCCUUCCGCCA
rnacentral:tRNA from 1 species